rnacentral:rRNA from 1 species
UGGGGAAUAUUGGACAAUGGGCGAAAGCCUGAUCCAGCCAUGCCGCGUGUGUGAAGAAGGUCUUCGGAUUGUAAAGCACUUUAAGUUGGGAGGAAGGGCAGUAAGCGAAUACCUUGCUGUUUUGACGUUACCGACAGAAUAAGCACCGGCUAACUCUGUGCCAGCAGCCGCGGUAAUACAGAGGGUGCAAGCGUUAAUCGGAAUUACUGGGCGUAAAGCGCGCGUAGGUGGUUCGUUAAGUUGAAUGUGAAAGCCCCGGGCUCAACCUGGGAACUGCAUCCAAAACUGGCGAGCUAGGGUAGGGCAGAGGGUGGUGGAAUUUCCUGGGUAGCGGUGAAAUGCGUAGAUAUAGGAAGGAGCACCAGUGGCGAAGGCGACCACCUGGGCUCAUACUGACACUGAGGUGCGAAAGCGUGGGGAGCAAACAGG